GGGUUGUGAGGUUAAGCGACUAAGCGUACACGGUGGAUGCCCUGGCAGUCAGAGGCGAUGAAGGACGUGCUAAUCUGCGAUAAGCGUCGGUAAGGUGAUAUGAACCGUUAUAACCGGCGAUUUCCGAAUGGGGAAACCCAGUGUGAUUCGUCACACUAUCAUUAACUGAAUCCAUAGGUUAAUGAGGCGAACCGGGGGAACUGAAACAUCUAAGUACCCCGAGGAAAAGAAAUCAACCGAGAUUCCCCCAGUAGCGGCGAGCGAACGGGGAGGAGCCCAGAGCCUGAAUCAGUAUGUGUGUUAGUGGAAGCGUCUGGAAAGGCGCGCGAUACAGGGUGACAGCCCCGUACACAAAAAUGCACAUGCUGUGAGCUCGAUGAGUAGGGCGGGACACGUGGUAUCCUGUCUGAAUAUGGGGGGACCAUCCUCCAAGGCUAAAUACUCCUGACUGACCGAUAGUGAACCAGUACCGUGAGGGAAAGGCGAAAAGAACCCCGGCGAGGGGAGUGAAAAAGAACCUGAAACCGUGUACGUACAAGCAGUGGGAGCACAGAGCAAUCUGUGUGACUGCGUACCUUUUGUAUAAUGGGUCAGCGACUUAUAUUCUGUAGCAAGGUUAACCGAAUAGGGGAGCCGAAGGGAAACCGAGUCUUAACUGGGCGUUAAGUUGCAGGGUAUAGACCCGAAACCCGGUGAUCUAGCCAUGGGCAGGUUGAAGGUUGGGUAACACUAACUGGAGGACCGAACCGACUAAUGUUGAAAAAUUAGCGGAUGACUUGUGGCUGGGGGUGAAAGGCCAAUCAAACCGGGAGAUAGCUGGUUCUCCCCGAAAGCUAUUUAGGUAGCGCCUCGUGAAUUCAUCUCCGGGGGUAGAGCACUGUUUCGGCAAGGGGGUCAUCCCGACUUACCAACCCGAUGCAAACUGCGAAUACCGGAGAAUGUUAUCACGGGAGACACACGGCGGGUGCUAACGUCCGUCGUGAAGAGGGAAACAACCCAGACCGCCAGCUAAGGUCCCAAAGUCAUGGUUAAGUGGGAAACGAUGUGGGAAGGCCCAGACAGCCAGGAUGUUGGCUUAGAAGCAGCCAUCAUUUAAAGAAAGCGUAAUAGCUCACUGGUCGAGUCGGCCUGCGCGGAAGAUGUAACGGGGCUAAACCAUG
rnacentral:rRNA from 1 species